rnacentral:rRNA from 1 species
AACGAACGCUGGCGGCAUGCCUAACACAUGCAAGUCGAACGAGAUCUUCGGGUCUAGUGGCGCACGGGUGCGUAACGCGUGGGAAUCUGCCCUUUGGCUCGGAAUAACAGUUGGAAACGACUGCUAAUACCGGAUGAUGACGAAAGUCCAAAGAUUUAUCGCCAGAGGAUGAGCCCGCGUAGGAUUAGCUAGUUGGUGUGGUAAAGGCGAACCAAGGCGACGAUCCUUAGCUGGUCUGAGAGGAUGAUCAGCCACACUGGGACUGAGACACGGCCCAGACUCCUACGGGAGGCAGCAGUGGGGAAUAUUGGACAAUGGGCGAAAGCCUGAUCCAGCAAUGCCGCGUGAGUGAUGAAGGCCUUAGGGUUGUAAAGCUCUUUUACCCGGGAUGAUAAUGACAGUACCGGGAGAAUAAGCUCCGGCUAACUCCGUGCCAGCAGCCGCAGUAAAAC